rnacentral:rRNA from 1 species
GCUUGUCUCAAAGAUUAAGCCAUGCAUGUCUAAGUAUAAGCUUUUAUACAGUGAAACUGCGAAUGGCUCAGUAAAUCAGUUAUGAUCUACUUGACAAAUUUACUACUGGAUAUCCGUGGUAAUUCUAGAGCUAAUACAGUGCAUUCAAUCCCUGAUGUUUUGAUGGGAGCACUAGUUAGAUUCAUAAGCCAAACCGCCAGGGCAACCUGGUAUUGCUUAGUCAUAACUAUUAAGCUGAUCGACCGCAAGGUCGACGGUUCAAUCGAAUUUCUGCCCUAUCAUUGCUCUGUUGGUAGGAUAGAGGCCUACCAUGGCUGCAACGGGUAACGGGGAAUAAGGGUUCUAUUCCGGAGAGGGCGCCUGAGAAAUGGCGACCACAUCCAAGGAAGGCAGCAGG